CGAACGCUGGCGGCGUGCUUAACACAUGCAAGUCGAACGGAAAGGCCCUGCUUGCAGGGUCCUCGAGUGGCGAACGGGUGAGUAACACGUGGGUGAUCUGCCCUGCACUUCGGGAUAAGCCUGGGAAACUGGGUCUAAUACCGGAUAGGAGCCAUUUUUAGUGUGAUGGUUGGAAAGUUUUUUCGGUGUAGGAUGAGCUCGCGGCCUAUCAGCUUGUUGGUGGGGUAAUGGCCUACCAAGGCGGCGACGGGUAGCCGGCCUGAGAGGGUGGACGGCCACAUUGGGACUGAGAUACGGCCCAGACUCCUACGGGAGGCAGCAGUGGGGAAUAUUGCACAAUGGGCGCAAGCCUGAUGCAGCGACGCCGCGUGGGGGAUGACGGCCUUCGGGUUGUAAACUCCUUUCGCUAGGGACGAAGCUUUUUGUGACGGUACCUAGAUAAGAAGCACCGGCUAACUACGUG
rnacentral:rRNA from 1 species